GAGUGGACGAACCUCUGGUGUUCGGGUUGUGUCGCCAGACGCAUUGCCCGGUAGCUAAGUUCGGAAUUGAUAAGCGCUGAAAGCAUCUAAGCGCGAAGCGAGCCCUGAGAUGAGUCUUCCCUGACAGUUUAACUGUCCUAAAGGGUUGUUCGAGACUAGAACGUUGAUAGGCAGGGUGUGUAAGCGUUGUGAGGCGUUGAGCUAACCUGUACUAAUUGCCCGUGAGGCUUAACCAUACAACACCCAAGGGGUUUUGUA
rnacentral:rRNA from 1 species